rnacentral:rRNA from 1 species
CUUUUGUCCCGAAAAUAAGUGAGCUACUUUUACUUCUAUUAAGAAUUAAAAGAAAACUGUCGCAAAAAUUUUUAAAGAAACUAAAGUAGAGAUUAAAUGUCUUCGCACUUAUUGAUAUCUGGCUAUUUCUAAAAGUAUUAAUACUUAUCUUUAUUAGAAGAACUACUUUUGGGAUAAGCUAAAGGUAGAAUAGAGAUUUUUCCCAUAAUAAAAACUUUUUAUUUUAGACCUAGCAAUAGUCAUAAAUAAGCCCUGUAACAAGGCUAAAAAUUAAAUUUUUAAAAUACUAUUUAUGUAAAAAAUCUUUUCUAAGAAAUACUAAAAAAAAACCAUCUUUUUAAUUAAAAUGAUAACAUUAGUAUAAAAAUUACCUAAACAUCUUUUUUCUACAAAAAUAUAGGAAAGGAACUUGGCAAAAAUGGACCACGACUGUUUACCAAAGACAUAGCUUCUAGAAACUAUUAGAAGUCAUACCUGCCCAGUGUGAAAAUAAACGGCCGCGCAAGUGCUAAGGUAGCGUAAUAAUUUGUCUCUUCAUUGGAGACUAGUAUGAAAGGAGUAACGAAGUCCAACUGUCUCCCCUACACCUUUAAAAAUUAAUAUGGAAGUGAAAAAUCCUCCUAUAUUUUUAUGAAGGACGAGAAGACCCUAUAGAGUUUUAGCAUAUAUUAUUUCUAUUAAUAUUAAAAAUAAAAACUGCUUUUAUUGGGGCAAUACAAGAACAAAACAAAAUCUUAUAUUAUAUAACCUCAAAGAGAAAAAAAAACUUAAACUACCUUAGGGGAUAACAGCGCAAUUUUACCAGAGAGAUCUAAUCGAAGGUAAAGUUUGCGAC